rnacentral:rRNA from 1 species
GAUGAACGCUGGCGGCGUGCCUAAUACAUGCAAGUCGAGCGAACGGACGAGAAGCUUGCUUCUCUGAUGUUAGCGGCGGACGGGUGAGUAACACGUGGAUAACCUACCUAUAAGACUGGGAUAACUUCGGGAAACCGUAGCUAAUACCGGAUAAUAUUUUGAACCGCAUGGUUCAAAAGUGAAAGACGGUCUUGCUGUCACUUAUAGAAGGAUCCGCGCUGCAUUAUCUAGUUGGUAAGGUAACGGCUUACCAAGGCAACGAUGCAUAGCCGACCUGAGAGGGUGAUCGGCCACACUGGAACUGAGACACGGUCCAGACUCCUACGGGAGGCAGCAGUAGGGAAUCUUCCGCAAUGGGCGAAAGCCUGACGGAGCAACGCCGCGUGAGUGAUGAAGGUCUUCGGAUCGUAAAACUCUGUUAUUAGGGAAGAACAUAUGUGUAAGUAACUGUGCACAUCUUGACGGUACCUAAUCAGAAAGCCACGGCUAACUACGUG